UUUUUUUAAGGGUUGCAGUAUGCUUAUUCAGCAUUAUCCUUCUGAGGGAGAGUGGCAUUGUUAAUUUUUCUGAAAAGUUUCUUAGUGAG